rnacentral:rRNA from 1 species
GUCGAACGAUACCUUCGGGUAUAGUGGCGCACGGGUGAGUAACACGUGGGAAUAUACCUUUCAGUGGGGGAUAACAUCGGGAAACUGAUGCUAAUACCGCAUACGCCCUUAGGGGGAAAGAUUUAUCGCUGAAAGAUUAGCCCGCGUCCGAUUAGCUAGUUGGUGAGGUAAUGGCUCACCAAGGCGACGAUCGGUAGCUGGUCUGAGAGGAUGACCAGCCACACUGGGACUGAGACACGGCCCAGACUCCUACGGGAGGCAGCAGUGGGGAAUAUUGGACAAUGGGCGCAAGCCUGAUCCAGCCAUGCCGCGUGAGUGAUGAAGGCCUUAGGGUUGUAAAGCUCUUUCGACGGGGACGAUGAUGACGGUACCCGUAGAAGAAGCCCCGGCUAACUUCGUGCCAGCAGCCGCGGUAAUACGAAGGGGGCUAGCGUUGUUCGGAAUUACUGGGCGUAAAGCGCACGCAGGCGGUUCGAUUAG